CGGAGCUGAAGCUCAGAGCUGAGGCAUGAGGCGAGAGGAGUGUGAGACAGGUUUCAAGGCUGCAGCAGCACACUCUUGGAAGGAGACGCUACAGCUAGCGGCCUGCUAGCUUUUGAAAGACUGGAGCGACUCAACUAAGGAAAAGACGACUUUUAAACUUUCUGUGCAGGUCCAGAAAUUGAUGGGAGUGAGAAAAACACAGUUGGACUGUGACUUUGAGGAGUCAGGAAGUGAUUCCUCUGGGUCUGAAUUAUGCAGCAAGAUGAACCCAGAUUACAUAAGAAAGCUUCUGUACACAAUGGAACAAGGGGCCUCCACCUUCACGGGAAAGACACAAUUG